rnacentral:rRNA from 1 species
UACGGAGGGUGCAAGCGUUGUCCGGAUUUAUUGGGUUUAAAGGGUGCGUAGGCGGAUGAUUAAGUCAGUGGUGAAAGCCCACAGCUCAACUGUGGAACUGCCAUUGAUACUGGUUAUCUUGAGUAUAGAUGAGGCAGGCGGAAUUUACGAUGUAGCGGUGAAAUGCAUAGAUAUCGUAAAGAACACCUAUAGCGAAGGCAGCUUGCUAAACUAUAACUGACGCUGAGGCACGAAAGCAUGGGUAGCGAACAGG